rfam:Canis lupus familiaris chromosome 4, whole genome shotgun sequence.
GCCUGGGUGGCUCAGUGGUCGAGCAUCUGCCUUGGGGUCAGAGCAUGAUCCCAGGAUCCAGGAUCGAGUCCUGCAUCAGGCU